rnacentral:rRNA from 1 species
AUUGAACGCUGGCGGCAGGCCUAACACAUGCAAGUCGAACGGUAACAGGGAUCAGCUUGCUGAUUCGCUGACGAGUGGCGGACGGGUGAGUCAUGUCUGGGAAACUGCCUGAUGGAGGGGGAUAACUACUGGAAACGGUAGCUAAUACCGCAUAACGUCGCAAGCCCAAAGAGGGGGACCUUCGGGCCUCUUGCCUUCGGAUGUGCCCAGAUGGGAGUAGCUAGUAGGUGGGGUAACGGCUCACCUAGGCGACGAUCCCUAGCUGGUCUGAGAGGAUGACCAGCCACACUGGAACUGAGACACGGUCCAGACUCCUACGGGAGGCAGCAGUGGGGAAUAUUGCACAAUGGGCGCAAGCCUGAUGCAGCCAUGCCGCGUGUAUGAAGAAGGCCUUCGGGUUGUAAAGUACUUUCAGCGGGGAGAAAGGGAGUAAAGUUAAUACCUUUGCUCAUUGACGUUACCCGCAGAAGAAGCACCGGCUAACUCCGUG